GUGGGGAAUCUUCCGCAAUGGACGAAAGUCUGACGGAGCAACGCCGCGUGAGUGAUGAAGGUCUUCGGAUUGUAAAGCUCUGUUAAUCGGGACGAAAGAGCCUAGUGUGAAUAAUGCUAGGAAGUGACGGUACCGGAAUAGAAAGCCACGGCUAACUACGUGCCAGCAGCCGCGGUAAUACGUAGGUGGCAAGCGUUGUCCGGAAUUAUUGGGCGUAAAGCGCGCGCAGGCGGAUCUGCCAGUCUGUCUUAAAAGUUCGGGGCUUAACCCCGUGAUGGGAUGGAAACUACAGAUCUAGAGUAUCGGAGAGGAAAGUGGAAUUCCUAGUGUAGCAGUGAAAUGCGUAGAUAUUAGGAAGAACACCAGUGGCGAAGGCGACUUUCUGGACGAAAACUGACGCUGAGGCGCGAAAGCCAGGGGAGCGAACGGGAUUAGAUACCCGAGUAGUCC
rnacentral:rRNA from 1 species